rnacentral:rRNA from 1 species
UGCAAGUCGAGCGCGGGAAGCGAGCGGAUCCCCUUCGGGGGUGACGCUCGUGGAACGAGCGGCGGACGGGUGAGUAACACGUGGGCAACCUGCCUGUAAGACCGGAAUAACCCCGGGAAACCGGGGCUAAUGCCGGGUAACACUUUCCUCCGCAUGGAGGAGAGUUGAAAGAUGGCUUUUAGCUAUCACUUACAGAUGGGCCCGCGGCGCAUUAGCUAGUUGGUGAGGUAACGGCUCACCAAGGCGACGAUGCGUAGCCGACCUGAGAGGGUGAUCGGCCACACUGGGACUGAGACACGGCCCAGACUCCUACGGGAGGCAGCAGUAGGGAAUCUUCCGCAAUGGACGAAAGUCUGACGGAGCAACGCCGCGUGAACGAUGAAGGUCUUCGGAUCGUAAAGUUCUGUUGUUAGGGAAGAACAAGUACCGUGCGAAUAGAGCGGUACCUUGACGGUACCUAACGAGGAAGCCCCGGCUAACUACGUGCCAGCAGCCGCGGUAAUACGUAGGGGGCAAGCGUUGUCCGGAAUUAUUGGGCGUAAAGCGCGCGCAGGCGGUUUCUUAAGUCUGAUGUGAAAGCCCACGGCUCAACCGUGGAGGGUCAUUGGAAACUGGGGAACUUGAGGACAGAAGAGGAGAGUGGAAUUCCACGUGUAGCGGUGAAAUGCGUAGAUAUGUGGAGGAACACCAGUGGCGAAGGCGACU